rnacentral:rRNA from 1 species
AUGGGCGAAAGCCUGAUCGGAGUAAUACCGCGUGAGGGAAGACUGCCUAUGGGUUGUAAACCUCUUUUUUCAGGGAGGAACUAAU